rnacentral:rRNA from 1 species
AACGAACGCUGGCGGCAGGCCUAACACAUGCAAGUCGAGCGCGCCCUUCGGGUUCAGCGGCGGACGGGUGAGUAACGCGUGGGGACGUGCCCUUUUCUACGGAAUAGCCUCGGGAAACGGAGAGUAAUACCGUAUACGCGCUUUGGGGGCAAGAUUUAUCGGAAAAGGAUCGGCCCGCGUGGGAUAAGGUAGUUGGUGGGGUAACGGCCUACCAAGCCGACGAUCCAUAGCUGGUUUGAGAGGAUGACCAGCCACCCUGGGACGGAGACACGGCCGAGACUCCGGCGGGAGGCAGCAGUGGGGAAUCGUAGACACGGGGGGGAACCGUAAGCUAGCCGUGCCGCGUGAGUGAUGAAGGCCGUAGGGUGGUAAAGCGCUUUCAGCUGGGAAGAUAAUGACGGUACCAGCAGAAGAAGCCCCGGCUAAUUCCGU